UCCGAGGAAGAUCUGCACCAGGGAGGACAGAGCGUGCAGCAUGAAAGCUCUUUCUAAACUCCUCUGUCUCCUGUUACUCUGGGUCCAAGAUUCCAGUGGAGAAGCCCUGUUGACCCUGUCUCCAGCCUCCCUGGCUGUGUCUCCAGGAGGAACAGCCACUCUCAGCUGCACGGCGAAUCAGGGUAUUAGCAGCUCCCUAGCCUGGUACCAGCAGAAACCUGGGCAGGCUCCCAGGCUCCUCAUCUACGAUGCCUCCAGCAGGGCCACUGGCAUCCCAGCCCGGUUCAGUGGCAGUGGGUCAGGGACAGGCUUCACUCUCACCAUCAGCAGCCUGGAGCCUGAAGAUGUUGCAGCUUAUUACUGUUACCAGUAUUACAGUGGGUUCCCACAGUGAUUUAACGUGGAACAAAAACCUCCCUGAGACCAUGGUCAUUGUUUUGCUCAUACCAGCUGUUUCCUUUAUAGACAGCUGCUGUGGUAUCUGCUGAGUCCUCGCAUUUCUGUCUCAAUCUGAAAAUCUUCUGAUUCUGAAAAGUAACUUGCUCAUAAGUUUUCAACUGAUUGCUGAACUUUUCUUCAGACUCAGUUGGAAAUUGUUCAGGAACAAUAUCCCUGCUAUUGGUAUCAGAUCAGAUUCAUAUGAGAUAUACAUUUUAUGUCUAGUACAACAAGGUAAUACCACAGCCAAGAAAAUGAAUUAUAUUGUACAUAUAUGAGA